rnacentral:rRNA from 1 species
UACGUAGGGCGCGAGCGUUGUCCGGAUUUAUUGGGCGUAAAGAGCUCGUAGGCGGCUUGUCGCGUCGUCCGUGAAAACUUGGGGCUCAACCCCAAGCUUGCGGUCGAUACGGGCAGGCUAGAGUUCGGUAGGGGAGACUGGAAUUCCUGGUGUAGCGGUGAAAUGCGCAGAUAUCAGGAGGAACACCGGUGGCGAAGGCGGGUCUCUGGGACGGUACUGACGCUGAGACGCGAAAGCGUGGGGAGCGAACAGG